AGAUCAACACCCUCUACCAUCUAAGCUGAGGUUCCACAGAGAGGAAACCCAAAUAUACUCUGCUCUAUUUACUCCUACACCUGGUCAGAAUCAAAUUAUUCUGCUGCUGCCCAUUCUUAGGUGAAAUCAGAGACAUUGUUGUGUACAUGUACAAAAACACAAAGACCCCACUCUGCCAAGAAGCCCCUCAUCAGUCCCACGGUGGGCCGGCCAGCUGAGCCUGUUUUGAACUGAUGUGACACCUAACAACCUAAAACAGGAAGUCCGCUCAUCGAUGGAAUGAGCAGCAUUUUUUAGAGCUGUCAGUAAACCCAAACAGAUGGAUCAGAGUCUUCCCUGUGUGCUUCUGAAAGCCCAGCUGCCAGAGAUCCAAUUGAACAGAGCCCGUCUGGUGACAUUGCCACGAGAUAAUUUUCUCACUCCUCAGUAAGUGAAGAUGUGUAAAAAAAACAACAACAACUAAAAACAACGAUGUUCAGCAGACACUCUCCCACACGGCAGCAAAGCUAAUCCAAACCCUAACUGAGCCCAGAGGAAGAGUUGCUCCUACAGACUCUCAGUACAGCUGCUGAGAUGCAAACAGCUGCCCUGAUAUCUUAUUUUCCAUUUCAACAUGGUUCUAUUUCCUCUCAGACGCUGUCUGAAGCCAGGAUCACCUCUGCACAAGAGAGAAUAUUUACAAGAUUGACAGCUUGUAUCAUCUCCAUCUUACACAGCUGUUUGCUUCUGUCGUGGACGAGACAAUGUGAUGAUAACAAGGACGGAAGGUGAAGUGUGUGUGUGUGUGUGUGUGGAUGUGUGUGUGAGAGAGAGAGCAUUCUGCACUGUUUUUGCUCAGUUCUAAGCUGUGACUCAGGGCAGAGGUGGAAUCUGGGUCAUGUGUGGGUAUCAUCUUCCAUUUCAA